rnacentral:lncRNA from 1 species
UUAAAAAAAAAUAAUAAUAUCAAACAGCUUUUUAUUUCAUUUUAUUUUAUCUUAUUUUAUUCUUCCCCCCACAAAGGUUCAGGAUAAAUGGUACAAAUGUAAUAAAUGUAAACUGCACUUGGCACCGUCGGGGUCAAUAAAUAACAUAAAAAAGGGAGCGAGCGCGGGAGGCGUUUGGGAGGCGGCGCUUUGGGAUCUGAAUAAAUAACAUAAUUUAUUUCCAAUAAAUAGCAGUAUCCAAAAUACAGAUGCAUUGCAUCCACUUCUGCAGCCGGGCACGGGCCCGGCGAUUCCGGAGGGGAAAAUCCGGAUGGUGCCGGCGGCGCUGGAACAGGAAUCCCUUUUCCCCUUUUCUCCCUUUUCUACCUUUUUUUAUUCUUUUUCCCCUUUUUUCCUUUUUCCCUUUUCCCUUUUUUUCCUUUUUUCCUUUCCCCUUUUUUCCUUUUUUCCUUUCCCCUUUUUUCCUUUUUUCCUUCCCCCUUUUUUUCCUUUUUUCCUUUCCCCUUUUUUUCCUUUUUUCCUUUUCCUUCCUUUUUCUUUUAUUCCCUUUUAUUUCCUUUCUCUCGGGCCUCCCUUCGAGGCCGGGCUUUGCUCAGCCCAGAAGGAAAACACGUGGCAGCCCCAUUCCCAAUUCCCAAGGGGCAGAAACAACCGAAUCCCACUAAAAUAUCCUUUCUCUUGAUAAAUUGGGAAAAUCCUUUCUCCCCAGCAGGAUGCUGGAGCUGUUUAAAUCCAGAAUAUUCUCUCUGCGAGCGCUUUCAUCGCGUGGCAACGACGACGUCGGAGCUGAUUUCCCACCCGUGGAUCCCAAAUUGGGAGCGAGACCCCGGGAGCAAACGGGAUCCCGAGGGAUCUGUGGGAUGUGUGGCUCUGAUCCCGAGCUGGAGCUGGAUCCUGCCCCAGGCACAGCGUGUCCUGAUGGAAAAACCUCUGGAAAUCCCAGAACUCGCCGGGGCAGGGCUGGCAGAGCGCAAGCCUGGGAUUUUUGCACUGUCACAACCACAUUAUUCUGUUUUAAACAUCUCCUCGCGUCCCCAAACCUCCUGCUCUUCCAACCCCUCCUCUCUCACGAGGAGCUGCAGGCCCAGACAAACAAAAACCCGACCCAAAAAUCUCCUCAACAGCUGUUGCACACUGGUUAUUAUUAUUAUUACUAAUAAUAAUAAUAAUAAUAAUAUUAAUAUUAACCACAGCACAUGGGAUGCUGAGGGAAGAGCCAGAUGAGAUUCUGCUGUCCUUUGAGGAGGGAAUUUUCCACUUUGGUUUUUUUUUUUUUUUUGCAUUGUAGUCAUUCUUCCGGACAGCUCCAGCUCCUAUUACAGCAGAGGGGGCUGGAGAAAUGGAAAACAUGAGGGAAAACUCAGCCUUUGGAUUGGAACCACAUUUCCAGGGCCGGCUGGCAGCGGGAUGGCACCAGGACAGCUGGAGGAAUUCCAUGAGGAGGAGGAGGAGCCCUGAAAAAGCCAUGGAAGCAGAAUCCAUCCUUUUGGCCACACCACGAUGCCCCAGCUCGCCCCAUCG